UACGGGGGGGGCAAGCGUUGUUCGGAAUUACUGGGCGUAAAGGGCUCGUAGGUGGCCAACUAAGUCAGACGUGAAAUCCCUCGGCUUAACCGGGGAACUGCGUCUGAUACUGGAUGGCUAGAGUUUGGGAGAGGGAUGCGGAAUUCCAGGUGUAGCGGUGAAAUGCGUAGAUAUCAGGAGGAACACCGAUGGCGAAGGCAGGUCUCUGGGCCACUACUGACGCUGAGAAGCGAAAGCAUGGGGAGCGAACAGG
rnacentral:rRNA from 1 species